rnacentral:rRNA from 1 species
GAUGAACGCUAGCGGCAGGCUUAACACAUGCAAGUCGAGGGGCAGCAUGGUCGAACUUCGGGUUUGAUUGAUGGCGACCGGCGCAAGGGUGCGUAACGCGUGAGCAACUUGCCCUCAUCAGGGGAAUAACCGUUGGAAACGACGACUAAUACCCCAUAGCACAUAUUUAAGGCAUCUUUUAUAUGUUAAAGAAUUUCGGAUGAGGAUAGGCUCGCGUGACAUUAGCUAGAUGGCGGGGUAACGGCCCACCAUGGCGACGAUGUCUAGGGGUUCUGAGAGGAAGGUCCCCCACACUGGAACUGAGACACGGUCCAG